UCCUUCGGGAUUAUUAGAGCGGCGGCAGGGUGAGUAAUGCAUAGGUAAUCUGCCCAGUAGUGGGGGAUAGCCCGGGGAAACCCGGAUUAAUACCGCAUACGUCCUACGGGAGAAAGCAGGGAGAUCUUCGGACCUUGCGCUAUUGGAUGAGCCUAUGUCGGAUUAGCUUGUUGGUAAGGUAACGGCUUACCAAGGCGACGAUCCGUAGCUGGUCUGAGAGGAUGAUCAGCCACGCUGGGACUGAGACACGGCCCAGACUCCUACGGGAGGCAGCAGUGGGGAAUAUUGCACAAUGGGGGAAACCCUGAUGCAGCCAUGCCGCGUGUGUGAAGAAGGCCUUCGGGUUGUAAAGCACUUUCAGUAGGGAGGAAGGCCUGUAAGUUAAUACCUUGCAGGAUUGACGUUACCUACAGAAGAAGCACCGGCUAACUCCGUGCCAGC
rnacentral:rRNA from 1 species